GUGCUUGCUUUGGUGGCACACACACUAAAAUUGGAACGAUACAGAGAAGAUUAGUAUGGCCCCUGUGCAAGGAUGACACACAAAUUCAUGAAGCGCUCCAUAUUUUU
ensembl:snRNA U6 U6 spliceosomal RNA